UGGGGAAUUUUGGACAAUGGGCGAAAGCCUGAUCCAGCAAUGCCGCGUGUGUGAAGAAGGCCUUCGGGUUGUAAAGCACUUUUGUCCGGAAAGAAAUCCUUGGCUCUAAUACAGUCGGGGGAUGACGGUACCGGAAGAAUAAGCACCGGCUAACUACGUGCCAGCAGCCGCGGUAAUACGUAGGGUGCAAGCGUUAAUCGGAAUUACUGGGCGUAAAGCGUGCGCAGGCGGUUUGCUAAGACCGAUGUGAAAUCCCCGGGCUCAACCUGGGAACUGCAUUGGUGACUGGCAGGCUAGAGUAUGGCAGAGGGGGGUAGAAUUCCACGUGUAGCAGUGAAAUGCGUAGAGAUGUGGAGGAAUACCGAUGGCGAAGGCAGCCCCCUGGGCCAAUACUGACGCUCAUGCACGAAAGCGUGGGGAGCAAACAGGAUUAGAUACCCUGGUAGUCCACGCCCUAAACGAUGUCAACUAGUUGUUGGGGACUUCAUUUUCCUUAGUAACGUAGCUAACGCGUGAAGUUGACCGCCUGGGGAGUACGGUCGCAAGAUUAAAACUCAAAGGAAUUGACGGGGUCAUAGCUG
rnacentral:rRNA from 1 species